rnacentral:lncRNA from 1 species
UUCACUAGCAAGACCAUUUAAAUUGUACGAAGUAGAAGACAAUUCUGAGAUCAAUCAUAAUCAUGUUUCGAAUUUUCACAUUUUUGCAAUUGAGUUAUAAGGAAAGACAUUCACUAUUCUUCUAAGAAGAGGUUUGAAUUAAACCCAUUUGCAUCAAAUGGGUGGGUCGUUUGUGGAGUGGCAGCGGCACAAGAAACCAAGUGUGAUUUGCCUAAAGAGCCGUAAUCUCAUGUUGCAUGGCAGCACGCCAAUGGAGGUCUUGAACAGCCUGCGAAAACUUAUGGGUUCUUUAAUGACUGUGAGGUUAGCUGUAUAGGAUUUAUGGUAGGGUGAAAAACGAUUAUACGAUAAGUGGUGAGAGAGUGGAUGAGAGGUACCUGAUGACUUAACCACGUUCAUUGAAGAUGUCGAAGUAAGUCUUGACGAAAGAGAGGUCUCGACGUGAAAGUCCUGCAAAAAUGAGGAAGGCUUUGUGGGGACGUAUGACACGGCGGAGUGGUAAUGGUGUAGGUGCAGGGCUGGGCGGGGUGAAAUAAGGGCAGUA